AUCUAUGCCCGGCCAGGAUGAAGCCAGGGGAAACUCUGGUGGAGGUCCGUCGCGAUUCUGACGUGCAAAUCGAUCGUCUGAGCUGGGUAUAGGGGCGAAAGACUAAUCGAACCAUCUAGUAGCUGGUUCCCUCCGAAGUUUCCCUCAGGAUAGCUGGCACUUGCAUUCGAACGAGUCUCAUCUGGUAAAGCAAUGAUCUGAGGCUCCAGUGGCGAAAUGCCGUUGGCCUAAUCUCAAACUUACAAUGGGUGAGAAGUCAGGCAUCCCUAACCGGACGAAGCCUGUACUGUACUUUGACGGAUCUACGAGUUGCCAAGUGGGCCACUUUUGGUAAGCAGAACUGGCGCUGUGGGAUGAACCAAAAGCUGGGUUAAGGCGCCCGAGUGGUUACGCAUCAGACCCCACUAAAGGUGUCGGUGGCUAAAGACAGCAAGGCUGUGGGCAUGGAAGUUGUCA
rnacentral:rRNA from 1 species